GAUGAACGCUGGCGGCGUCCCUAAUACAUGCAAGUCGAGCGAAGCGGGGCCGGUUGAGUAACACGUGGAUAACCUCCUACAAGACUAGCGUAACUUUGGGGAACCGGAGCUUAACCGGUUACUUAUAGAUGGCCCCGCGCUGAAUUAGCUAGUUGGUAAGGCAACGGCUUACCAAGGCAACGAUGCAUAGCCGACCUGUGAGGGUGAGCGGCCACACUGUGACUGAGACACGGUCCAGACUCCUACGGGAGGCAGCAGUAGGGAAUCUUCCGCAAUGGGCGAAAGCCUGACGGAGCAACGCCGCGUGAGUGAGGAAGGUCGUCGGAUAGUAAAACUCUGUUAUUAGGGAAGCGGUACCUAAUCAGAAAGCCACGGCUAACUACGUGCCAGCAGCCGCGGUAAUAC
rnacentral:rRNA from 1 species